UACGAAGGGGGCUAGCGUUGUUCGGAAUCACUGGGCGUAAAGCGCACGUAGGCGGACGUUUAAGUCAGGGGUGAAAUCCCAGGGCUCAACCCUGGAACUGCCCUUGAUACUGGACGUCUCGAGUCCGGGAGAGGUGAGUGGAACUCCGAGUGUAGAGGUGAAAUUCGUAGAUAUUCGGAAGAACACCAGUGGCGAAGGCGGCUCACUGGCUCGGUACUGACGCUGAGGUGCGAAAGCGUGGGGAGCAAACAGG
rnacentral:rRNA from 1 species